UAGCAAAUUAUUCCAUCAAUUAUUCCAUCAAUUAGGAAUCAUCUUUCAUUGUGUUUCCAUCAAAUGUUAAUAAUUUAGAGAUUUGACGUUCAUCUAUUUGCUUUUGGGUUCUGAUGAUCAUUGAUUUAACUUUCAUUUAUGGUUAUCAUGCGUUACGGAAAUUGUAAUAUUUGGAUGUCAUAUAAUCUUCGAUUACCAGUUUUACCAAUCAGCAUAUCAUUAAAACGAUUGUUUAAUCACUUUGUGUAUCCAUUGCCGCUGAUAUUGUAUCAAAUCCAUCUGUUGACAUUGAUUGUGCGUAUCCUAUUUAUUUUGGUGAAUGGUACCUACUGUUCAUCAUUACAAUCAAUAAUUGAAUCAACACUUGUAUGGACAAAGUACAAAUGAGACCAACUAAAUGCUGAUUGUUAAGCACAGUUUUAACAUUAAUUUGGCUCCACCAGUGAUUAGAAGCAAAAAGAAGUGAAGGGAAACACCAAUUUAUGGAUGACUGAAGAUGCUGAAGACUGAUCAAGUGGAGGUGGUAAAAAUGGCUGACAAUAAAGUUCCAAGAAGAUGUUUGAAUUCAAAUUAAGGAGUUAUUACAAAAUUGUGAAAAAUUGUUUACUUUUAACAAACAAUUAGGAUCGCUACAAUCUGUUUUCGGGUUAAAUUAUUGGUGUUAUUGCCGUUUGCCCGACUCCCAUUAUUUUUAAUAAUCAUCAACCAAAUACGUUUGAUUGGCAUAUUGUUUGAAUUAACGCUGUUUUCAUUAUUAUUGAUACUUGUUAACAGCUUCUUCCAACAUUCUUAACAUUACAUGAAGCUCAACUCUUCAACAGCUAUUUAUGUAUGUUAAUCAACACGCUUAUUGUUGGUGAAAGUUCAUUUGUAAUACAAUUUUAAAGGUACAAAGCCAAGAAAAUGGCGAAAAAAAACACUGAACUAUUCACAAUUUGCUAAUUGGUUAUUUGUAAUUCAACUGAAACACACACUCAAAGUACAACAUAAUUUUUGACAAUUUCAACCUAAAAUGAAUAUUGGAAAAUGAUUCAGACAAAAUGACUUAUAGUUGGAAUGAAUUAAACUUGAUUUAUGAUUUUAAUUUA